AGGUAAAUUAUGUAAAUAUGUAAAUAUCUUUAGAGGUAAAAGAUCAACUAUGGAUGCAUUAAUAAAAGUCAGUAACGAAAUAGAGAAGGCAAUAAAAAUGAAAGAAAUUAUGGUAGUAGUAUAUUUUGAUAUAGAAAAAGCAUACGACACAAUAUGGAGAGAAGGGUUGUUAAUUAAAGCAGCAAUGAUAGGAAUAGAUGGUAAAAUGUAUAAUUGGUUAUCUCAGUUUUUAUUUGAACGAACAUUUUUAGUACAAGUAGGAGCGUGCCAGUCAUCAGUUUUUAAGGCAGAAAAUGGUAUUCCACAAGGGAGUGUAAUAAGUCCAAUUCUUUUUAACAUUAUGAUUAAUGAUAUUUUUGACAAUUUAGGAUAUGGUGUGGGAUGUGCGUUAUAUGCUGAUGAUGGUGCUAUUUGGAAGAGAGGUCGAAAUGUAUCCCAAGUGAUUUCAAGUAUGCAAACAGCUAUUAAAAAGGUGGAAAAAUGGAGUAUAGAAUGGAGUUUUAAAAUGUCAACAAAUAAAUCAUGUUAUAUGGUGGUCAGUAGGAAAAAAGAAGUUUCUAAAGAUAUUGAACUACUAUUGUAUGGAAAACCUUUAGAGCAAGUAAAGGUUUUUAAGUAUCUAGGAAUUUGGUUAGAUGCGAGAUAUACCUGGAAAAAGCAUGUUGAGGAAAUAGAUAAAAAAUGCAGGAGGAUUUUAAAUGUGAUGAGGGCAAUAGCUGGAAAAGAAUGGGGUGCUGAAAAAGAAUCAAUGUUAACAAUAUAUCAAGCUUUGAUAAGAUCUAUAAUAGAUUACGGAUGCAUGAUUUAUUGUUCAGCAUCAGAAACAUUAUUAAGGAGUCUAGAUAGGAUACAGUAUAGAGCUCUUAGAAUAUGCUUAGGAGCAACUAAAACAACACCAAUCAAUGCGUUAUUAGUAGAGGCAAAUGAAAUGCCAUUGAGCUUGAGGAGAGUUCAAUUGUCUUUGGUAUAUUGGUUGUCUUUAAAGAGUUAUUCUGGAAAACAUAUAGCUAAAGAUAUUUUAAAUAAUUGCUGGGAAUACUCAAAUAACAAAGGGAGAGGAUAUGGAUGGAAUAUAAAUCAGUUAGCAGAGAAAUAUCAGAUAACAAAUAUAGAAUGUAGUGUGUCACCUGUAUGGGGAGAGGUGCCAACAUGGAUAAUUCCUGAUGUUAAAAUUGAUCUAGAGAUAUUGGAUAAGAAAAGAGAAUGGGAGGAAAUGGGUAGUAUUAAAUAUAAUGUAAAUAAGUAUAUUCAGGAAAUAUUUUAUGCAAGUAUGCACAUUUAUACUGAUGGAUCUAAAGACCCCAAAACAGGGCUUACAGGAGUAGGAAUAUAUAUUCCAGAUUUUAAAAUAUCCAUAACUAAAAGAUUAACAUCUAAAUUGUCAAUAUAUACUGUUGAAAUGGUUGCUAUCAUAAUAGGACUAACAUGGGUAGAGGAAGUAAGACCAGACAGAGUAGUGGUAUGCUCUGACUCUGCUUCUGUUUUAACAUCAUUGAUUACUCGGCAAUCUUCUAGAGAAGAUUUGUUGUGUGAAAUAUUUACAUUAUUAUGGCGUAUACAAAGAAAAGGUGUGGUAGUUGGAUUCUGCUGGGUGCCAGCACAUGUGGGAAUAACUGGUAAUGAAUCUGCUGAUGAAUUAGCAAAAAAUGCUUUAGGAAGAGAAGUAAUAGAUUUUAAUGUUCCUUUAAGUAAAUGUGAAAUUAAAACUAUCAUUAAGGAAAAUAUUAUUAAAGAAUGGCAGGGUAUAUGGAAUACAGGUAAUAAGGGAAGGCAUUUAUAUAAUAUUAAAAAAAUGGUUAAUACUAAAAGAAGUGUAAGUGGUAGAAAUAGAAAAGAAGAGGUUAUUAUAACCAGGAUGAGACUUGGACACUCGGGAUUGAACGCUUCACUGUUCAUAACUGGAAUACAUGAGACUGGGCUGUGUGGGAAUUGUGGGGAGAAAGAAACAGUGGAGCAUGUAAUAUAUAAUUGUACAAGGUAUGAUGAAGAAAGAAAGGAAUUAAUAUCAUAUUUAAACAAGAAAGGUAAGGUAAAUAAGGAUUUGGAAUACUUAUUAGGAUAUGAGUUUAACAGAGAUAGAGAAGGAUACAUGAUAUUAAUAAAAUACAUAUAUACUUCUGGGUUAAGUGAAAGGAUUUAAAAUAUAGAAUGCCGAUGCUCUAUUCUAUUCUGGAUCUGUAGGGACCACGGAUUUAGUCUGGAGGAGCUGAACACGCAGCGCCAGGUGGAGCCUGGGGAGAAGGAAUGGGAUGGAGCAUCGAAUAAUUAUUUAAGUAGGAAUAUUUGUGUAUAUACGGGUGUAAGAACAGGAAAAGCAAAAACAAGGAAUAAAUUGAUAAAUAAACCAUGACUGCAUAACAGCAAAAGUAGGUGGCGAUAUGCACACAGGAUGUAACACGCCAAAAAACGGAAGAAGAAGAAGAAGAAGAAGAGGGAGUUACUUAUGGCUCACCUGCUGAGCACAUUGUGCUGUGUCCUG
ensembl:lncRNA RNA-directed DNA polymerase from mobile element jockey-like